CAAGUUUUGCAAGAACAAUUCAUUUUGGGAUGAACUAUCGAUACAAAUAUUUUCAUUUGAUUGAGGGCAAUGGCGUUAACCACUCGACCAGAGCCUGCUCGGAAACGAAAGGAGAUUUGGUCAUAUUGAUAGGGUAUCCAUCCAAACAUGUUUGGUGUUUAAAGUUUCAACGUAUAGAGUCCGAAGCAACCCUUUCCACGACAGGUGGUGACCACCUGGUGGCGCCAGUGUGCCAAACGCCGUUAGACGAUCAGGAGAAGAAGAUUUGAAUUGACGGAUGUGACGUCAGGUCUUUAGGUGAAUUGAAGACAGGUGUGCUCAAGGGGAGUUAUUAAAUGCAGGUGGCACCGAGCGCGUGGCGGCGGCGGCGGCGGGCGCUUUCUCAGGAUUGUCGUACACUCGUGACUCGGCAACGAACGUCACGUCCACCGCGACGGUGGGCCUGGAGGAUUUUCGCUGUCUAUGGAGUGUUUGAGGUUUGGGCACGGCACGCCACAAUCGACUUUGCGUCGCGUCGUUGCGCGUUUUGGUCGUUUUGCCGCUACGGUAUUUCAAAUGUCUUUCGCCUUUUUUAAAAAAUUUUUUUAAUGCUGGCCAGCAUUUUUUAUUCGUUUGUUUGUCGAAGGUUCGUAAAUGACGCCGCCGAUAAGCGCGUGUUUGUCUGACUAGAGGAAAUGUUAGUUUGACUCUAGUCAAUUAAACCAUUCUUUAUUUAAUAUUGUGCGUGUGCCAUUUACGUGUUAUGCAAACUGAUGAAUGUGACGAAUUAGUUACGUCAUGUCCAAAUGAGACCAAAUCUAUUCAAAGAUGGCGCCCGCCCGCCCUCGUUCCGUUACGCAACAAACAUUUGCGCGGGUUAUCUUCUCCCGUUUUGGACGCCGCUAACCUGGAUCAUCUGUCCAAUGUGAGGUGAGUUGAUGAUGAUAAAAUUAAAAUAUGAAUUAUAAUCCUGAUAAAUGAUCAUAAUUUACUACAAUAUAAUGAUUAUAUAUUUUUUAACUGUAAAACUCUACUUAGUAUGUAUAAAAUGAAAAUAUUAAUUAUAAUUCUGAUAAAUUAUCAUAACUUACUACAAUAUAAUAUAUAUUUUUCCAAAUGUAAAACUCUACUUAGUAUGUAUAAUUGUUGCAAAAAUAUCAUGCCAUUGGCACUCUACUCAAUGUCUAUUUUUGUUGCAAUCAUUUUUUUC